GGCAGCGCCUCUUUCUCCUUCCUUCUCACGUUAUUUUUUUCUGGAAAAACAAACUUUCUUCUUCUCUCAUACCGAUUUAACAACAACACAAAUCUCUCUCGGUUUCUCUCUUCCACGAUAAUCACCAUGAAUUUCCGUUCUCAACCUUAUCUCUCUCGCGAAGGACACAACAACAAUGGUCUCCCUCGGUGCUCACUUUACGGCAACAAACAGCGGCCCUUUCUCCAUCUCUUGCUCUCAAUCGAUAAAAACGACUCCUCACCGGAAGUUUUACGGCGGCCAUGGAUGAACAAGAGGUUCCUUAAAGAUAAUACAGGAACAAUAUAUUUGUAGCAACUGAUAAAAGCAAUAUUGAGAGCAAGGGGUGAAGUCAACUUACCUGCGGCAAGAGAUGUUUUCCGGAAUUUUGUUAAGCUUCACAAUAACUUGUUGCUGGAAGCGUCGGGUGCUGUGUUGAAGAUGAUGUGGGGCUGCCACUGAAGUCCGAAGG